ensembl:lncRNA
GUGAGGCUUGGUAGAACAUUUCUCUUCCUUCUGUAUUUGAUAAGUAAGACUAAUGAAUAGAUCUGCCACCUCACUAACUGUAUAAGGAUAAAUAAGGUGGCAGAUUUUAAUAAAAUGAAGCCCUGGCAAAAGUAUCUGCUGGCAGCCCUGACAGCAAUGGCUUCAUCAGGACUUUUCUGUGUCACGCUGGAGUUGCUUGCUGCUGGGAACCCUGAUUCAUCCAGGCCCUCACUGGACACACAGCUCCAGCAGGGAUCCCUCCAGAGCACAGAGAACCAUCCCAGCCAUCCUGCUUCUACUGACGAAGCCUGGACCCAGAUUAACUCUCCUGAGUGACCAUGCCACACACCUGACUCACAUUAAAUUUAACGGUCAACUGAAACCCUCACACUUCUGGGGCAGGGACUCACUCCCUGGUCCAGGGAAUUUCUAGGAAAACAGACUUUAUGUAGUUCCUUAUUACUUGUUCAAUGGAAAAUGGUGUCUGAGCUUCCCCCCACCCCCAACCACGAUAUUUAAUGUAUGAGAGUGAUGCCUUUGAAGUGCUGAAAAAGUGCAGUCAUUCCCUUGACAAGGAAAGGGAGGAAUUAUGGAUGAAAUCCUGCCCCCUCCCUCCCCUGCAGCACAUGCUGUCGGAGUCUCAAGGUCACCCGGCAGCCGUCUCAGGCAGAUGCUUCUCUCUUCCCUCUUCACUAUCAAAGUGUUUUCAAGGGAACCACAGAAGGGACAGCUGCCUUUGAUUGUUCCCUUCUUGAUCCUCCUGGGUCCCUAACCACUCCCAGGGGUCUCCGUGAGUGCAGAAAGAGGCCUCAUAAAACAGCCUUAAAAUAAACAAGAAUUUUCUCCUUUUCUUCUACUGCCUGCCCUGAAGGAAAAAGGGAAAAGAAAAGCGAGGGAGAGGGUGGGUGUUUGAUGGCAGAGAGGAGAGUCCCUUAUGCAUCUUACAACA